UACGUAGGGUGCGAGCGUUUGUCCGGAAUUAUUGGGCGUAAAGGGCUCGUAGGCGGUUUGUCGCGUCGGGAGUGAAAACCUUGGGCUUAACUCAGGGCUUGCUUUCGAUACGGGCAGACUAGAGGUAUGCAGGGGAGAACGGAAUUCCUGGUGUAGCGGUGAAAUGCGCAGAUAUCAGGAGGAACACCGGUGGCGAAGGCGGGCAACUGGACGAAUACUGACGCUGAGACUCGAACGAGCGUGGGGAGGCAAACAGG
rnacentral:rRNA from 1 species